UACGUAGGGGGCAAGCGUUGUCCGGAAUCAUUGGGCGUAAAGAGCGUGUAGGCGGUCCGAUAAGUCGGCUGUGAAAGUCAAGGGCUCAACCCUUGAAUGCCGGCCGAUACUGUCGGGCUAGAGUCCGGAAGAGGCGAGUGGAAUUCCUGGUGUAGCGGUGAAAUGCGCAGAUAUCAGGAGGAACACCUAUUGCGAAGGCAGCUCGCUGGGACGUAACUGACGCUGAGACGCGAAAGCGUGGGGAGCAAACAGG
rnacentral:rRNA from 1 species